UCCCAUUUGUUGGCCAUGUUUUUCUUCUGC
rnacentral:piRNA from 1 species